CGCUGGCGGCGUGCCUAAUACAUGCAAGUCGAACGGUCUUUCUAUGGAAGCUUGCUUCCACUGAGAAGAUAGUGGCGAACGGGUGAGUAACACGUGGGUAACCUGCCCAUAAGAGGGGGAUAACAUCCGGAAACGGGUGCUAAUACCGCAUAGUUUUCUUGAUCGCAUGAUUGAGAAAGGAAAGACGGCCUUUGUGCUGUCGCUUAUGGAUGGACCCGCGGCGUAUUAGUUAGUUGGUGAGGUAACGGCUCACCAAGACGAUGAUACGUAGCCGACCUGAGAGGGUGAUCGGCCACAUUGGGACUGAGACACGGCCCAAACUCCUACGGGAGGCAGCAGUAGGGAAUCUUCCGCAAUGGACGAAAGUCUGACGGAGCAACGCCGCGUGAGUGAAGAAAAGGGUUUUCGGAUCGUAAAACUCUGUUGUCAGAGAAGAACAAGUUGGAGAGUAACUGCUCCAGCCUUGACGGUAUCUGACCAGAAAGCCACGGCUAACUACGUGCCAGCCGCCGC
rnacentral:rRNA from 1 species